GCGGGGGUUACCUUGAUAGCGUAGGGAGGCUCCUCGAAAGUGACCAGCAUGUACCUGUCUCCUCUGCUGGCCGGGUCCCGGGCUCGGAGCUGCGGCGCGGGGGACAAAGCAGAGGAGCCGGUACCUUCAUGAAAGUCUCUACAGCGCCUUUGGCUACGUCCAGAUAGGUGGUGCCCAGAUGGGUGCGCUGGUUCAUGGAGGCGGACGUGUCUAUCAGGAAGACUGAUGUGCUCCCACAGCCACUGCUCUAGAAGGUAUGAAGCCACUGUGCUCCUUCCUUCUCUCAAGAUAAAAUUGGCAGUGGCCUGGUUUGAUUCAUCUUGCUCUCCCAGGCAAGAUUUCUGUUGUUAGGCAAGAGCUUUGGGCUUUUUUUUUUUUUUUUUUUUUUUUUUUUUUCAGACUAAUGAAAGAUUAGCAUUUAGUUUCUAGGAAGAGAGAGGGUUAGAGUCAUAUUUCCAUUACAGAUUGGUAUGCUUGCUUAUGCCUGCGAGCAGCUUCUUUUGGCUUUCCUGUCAGGGCAGCAUCUGUGACCUGUGCCAUCCCUUCUCAGGCCUUGGGGUGAAGUCAGGGGCGCUUCCCUUUCAUCCCCGUUCCCCAUUCAAGGCCGUUCAGGAAUCUCCAAUCUCGAGGAUCCUGUGAGAGCUGGGAGGGAAAUUGCGGGAGUCAGUGCAGGCUGAAAUACGGCGACUGGGUUUCUUUGGAAGCAACAUUUUUGCUAUGAGUGUUUCUCAGAGUGGAGCCUGCUGGUGGCGGUAAGAGUGGCCAAGCCUGUGUGCACCCAGCGGCACUCGAGCCGCUUGCAUCUUGCCAACAGUCCAGUGCUAGUGCCACACCAGUGGCGCUGCCUCUCGUGACCAGCAGCAAGGCUGUGCUGCUCCAGGUUCUUGCUGGUUAAUCUGAAGCCCUGCCGUCAGAGGCAGCAAACCAGCAGGUGCUGCAGAGGCCACAGACUGUCCUGGAAUCCAGCUGCAUGCCAGCCCCCGUUACACAGUGCAGCGUUCGGACUGUCAGAGGGGCUUGGUUCGCAGUCGUUUUGUCUCUACAGAGGUGUUUUGGGACACCUUUCUGCCCUUCAGAUCCCCGCGGAAAGUUGCAGCUCCUACGGUCAGCAAGGCUUGCUGCUGCUAGGGUAGUAACUGUCUCCCUGAGGUGGUGGGGUUCAAGUUGUUAUGUAAAGGCCGCGGGGCUGCUUUAACAACUCGUGCCUUGGGAUUCGUAACUUCGUUGGGGAGUAAUGUUGAGAGAGUGUAUGCCGUCGGCUGCUAAUUGGCUUCCUUUUAAAUCUCUGAGAUAGGCACAUUCUUCAGACAUGCUAUCUUUUCUGUUUGCCUGUUGCUGAUGUUUCAUUGACUGUCCGAAUAAAAACAGCGUCGCCUUGACGUGUCAAGCAUCAUGUAUCUUCUUGGAGAGCAUCCUAAAAACGGGAAACUUCUGGAAUCGUUCCUUCUCCAAAGUGCUGGAAAAAAGGCAUUUUAGAGCCCUUGCCAUACCAGGAAAAUGUCAUGGUGGAAGGCAGCCUGUACUGUGGAGACUUUGCAUAAAUCCUGGAGGGUCAUUUGGAAUUUUUAAGUUUUGUUGCCAGUAAACGAAGUGAGAGGGGGGGAAAAAAAAGCCGAGUUAACUCUUAGUGGUAGCAUCGGUUAUAAACCAGCAUGAAUUCUGAACCAACUUUGAAAACUGCAAGCCGUAGGCAAGCUGCAGUUUUCUUACCAGCACAAGAGGAAGGUGGGACCGAAGCAGCUGGGCCCAUUCCACCCUUGGUCCCCUCAGCCCUGCUGACUAUUACUGGUAGAAGAAUCCCACAGACAAAAAAAAGCUACAUGCAGCUCCAAUGGGAUCUGUACAAGCCAAACCACUUUACUGCAGUUUUCUGUAUGUCCUUGCUUUUUGCUGUUACGUUGAAAGCCAUUUGGAACAUUCAGUUCUUCCUGCUGCUGUGCAUUUCUACUGGGUCCAUAUUAGAUCCCCUCCAGGUCAGAAUCGAGGCGGGGGGUGUGUUGUCUGUGGUAGGCAUUAGUACUUCUCUUCUGGGAGCCAGCCAGUUUGAUUAAUAUUGAGAACGAUUCUUUCAAAGAUAGAUAAUCAACCCAAGCCUUAAGUGUGUAGCAGCCUCUUGAUGUGAGAGUCGUAAUGGCUGGUACUGCCAUCAGAGUCACAUUUAUAAAUCCGUACGGGAGAUUUGCUGCGAAGGAACAAAACCCGGUGAUAUUAGUGCUUAUGCUCAUUACUGGUAGAGCUGACACAGCUGAGCAGGGAGAGAGCUUGAGGCUGUCACUGCAAACAUUCAUCUUUUUCUGCUUUCAGCUUUUUCAUACGGUGGGCGAAGUUGUACCCCAUGCGUAUUCUAAAUGAGCCAGUCCUACCUUUUCUCCCAAAUCCAGACGAAUGAUUUCAGCACCGUUCUGUCUGGAGGAAUACUCCUGCUGUCCAGCUGAUGCCAAAGAUUCCAGCGAAUGUCACAGAAUUUUUGUUUGGUAUUUGUCGUGCAUCCAUGAGGGAGCAUGAAUUUAUGUCUAAGAAUACUCAUAUUCUGAUCUUCAGAAUGGGCAUUGUCCAUUUGGGGACAAAUAAGACGGUAUUAAAAAUGCAAAUUUCACUUUAAAUUUGAAUGCUAAGUCAAUACAUCAAAACUCAUAUAUAAGUAUGAAAAUAUACCUGAAAAAAAAAAAAUGUAUUAAAAAAAUCAGAGAGUGUUCUUGGUAUAAUUUGCUGUUACUGUGUUUUCUCCUCAAACAUCAUCUUCUCCCAGCCAAUAUUUGUGAGAUUUUUGUUGUAUUAUCACAUAGUGUUAGCCUUAUUUUGUCCUAAACUGCAGGCUUGAAUGGAAGAUGUCAUGCUAAAGACCUUCAAGCAGGUCUGAGAGCCAAAAUUGACAGUAUAAAUAUAUGUGUAUAAAUAUGUGUGUGUGGGGUUUUUUUUUUUACUUGGUUUUCUCCUUGUUUCACAAAAAAUAUUUCAAGAUCUUGGUCAAUCCAGGUUUUAAUGACAUGAGUAUAUUUUUCAGAGCUUUCUUUAGAAUACCAUUCCAUAGUCUUGUAGUUUGUCACCAUUAAGCAUUUUUCCCUGUUUAAAAGUGUUAUAUUUUCCAUUGCUUAAUGUUAUGUUACUGCUUAUCA